GGACGGGGGGGCAAGUGUUCUUCGGAAUGACUGGGCGUAAAGGGCACGUAGGCGGUGAAUCGGGUUGAAAGUGAAAGUCGCCAAAAAGUGGCGGAAUGCUCUCGAAACCAAUUCACUUGAGUGAGACAGAGGAGAGUGGAAUUUCGUGUGUAGGGGGUGAAAUCCGUAAAUAUACGAAGGAACGCCAAAAGCGAAGGACAGCUCUCUGGGGGUCCCUACCCGACGCUGGGGGAUGCGAAAAAGCAUGGGGGAGCGAACAGGG
rnacentral:rRNA from 1 species